GGAGGGAUGGCAGAGUGGUCGAAUGCGCGCGACUUGAAAUCGCGUAGGCGGGAAACCGCCUCGGGGGUUCGAAUCCCUCUCCCUCCG
rfam:Elusimicrobia bacterium CG1_02_63_36 cg1_0.2_scaffold_16816_c, whole genome shotgun sequence.